rnacentral:rRNA from 1 species
UACAGAGGGGGCAAGCGUUAUUCGGAAUUAUUGGGCGUAAAGGGCGCGUAGGCGGCUUUGCAAGUGACGGGUGAAAUCCCUCGGCUUAACCGAGGAACUGCCUGUCAGACUGCAUGGCUUGAGACCGGGAGAGGUGAGUGGAAUUCCCAGUGUAGCGGUGAAAUGCGUAGAUAUUGGGAGGAACACCGGUGGCGAAGGCGGUUCUCUGGGCCUUACCUGACGCUGAGGAGCGAAAGCGUGGGGAGCGAACAGG